AUUGAACGCUGGCGGCAUGCCUUACACAUGCAAGUCGAACGGUAACGGGCCUUCGGGUGCCGACGAGUGGCGAACGGGCGAGUAAUACAUCGGAACGUGCCCGAUCGUGGGGGAUAACGAGGCGAAAGCUUUGCUAAUACCGCAUACGAUCUACGGAUGAAAGCAGGGGACCGCAAGGCCUUGCGCGGACGGAGCGGCCGAUGGCAGAUUAGGUAGUUGGUGGGUUAAAAGCUUACCAAGCCGACGAUCUGUAGCUGGUCUGAGAGGAUGAUCAGCCACACUGGGACUGAGACACGGCCCAGACUCCUACGGGAGGCAGCAGUGGGGAAUUUUGGACAAUGGGCGCAAGCCUGAUCCAGCCAUGCCGCGUGCAGGAUGAAGGCCUUCGGGUUGUAAACUGCUUUUGUACGGAACGAAAAGCCUUCUUUUAAUACAGGAGGGUCAUGACGGUACCGGAAGAAUAAGCACCGGCUAACUACGUG
rnacentral:rRNA from 1 species